GAAUAUCCUCCGCUAGGCAGGUACGGGUUGGCAGUGUGAGCCGAGCCGGGGUGCUGGAGUGGAGGUGGAAGGGCUCGCGGUAGCGGCGGUGGGAGGGCACGGCCGGAGACGGAAGGAGGCGUUGUGGCCGCCCUAGGCGGAGGGAAGGGGUGCGGCGGCCGGCGGCGGAGGGAAGGGGUGCGGCGGCCGGCGGCGGAGGGAAGGGGUGCGGCGGCCUGCGGCGCAGGGAGGGGUUGCGGCGGGAGGCGGCGGAGGCAGGGGUUGCGGCGGGAGGCGGCGGACGGAGAGGGCGCGGCGGGAGGCGGCGGACGGAGGGGGCACGGUGGGAGGCGACGGAGGGAGGGCCACAGAACGGUGGCGCAUAGAAAGCCCGCUACGGCUAACGAGGGAGGUGUCCGGCUAACGAGGGAGGUGUCGUUGUUGAUGCAACCGCACGUGUCCUCACAAAAACAAGACUCUAGUCAACGAGUUGCUGUCUUAACAAUAACGUGUCAUGUACAUAAUGAUGACACUUCCAAGUCUUUAGUCUUGAGUUUCUUCAUAACUGUCGUAUUGACGUAUUGAUGACAUAUAAGUUCCUCAGCCCAAAACGAGGACGCAGUAGAGCAGAGGAGGCAAGUCGUUUUCGGAGGUCUAUUCAAGUGUGUAUACCAAAACAAGAAAGAUAUUAAGAACUCAGGUUUGUGGAAACAAAAAACAAGGACUCUUUAAUUUAUUUGGACAUCUUCAAACACCAUAUUUUAAGACAUUCAAGCUUUAACCCUUUGACCAUUCACGUCUGUUUUAAUUUUGACAGUUUCUUGACUCCGAUGCGGUGUGGUCAUGUUUGAAAAAUUUACAAACUUAAAACAAUGUCGUUUUUGACUUACCUACCGUUCUACUUAUAUUAAUAAUAAUUCUCAAAGAAAAACUUGCAGAGGCCAAUUAUAUGUACUUGAACUAAUAGAAAAAUUGGUCAAUUUAUAUGUACCAACCGUUCUACUGAUAUCAACAAUAUCGUUUUUGUCAUGUAAAAAAGUUCUUUUCAAAGACAAACUUGAAGAGGCUAAUUAUAUCUACUUGAGUUAAUAGAAAAAUUAUACGUGAGUGUACUCGAGCAAACCUAAACACACAUAUAAACAUUGUGUUAGUUAACUCUAGAGCUCUCUGGCAUUCAAGUCAGCUGGAACCGUAGUGCUCGCCCAAGUCAAGCUAGAGCGUGUCACCCGUCCAGGGGCUACCACACACGCAGUCCAGAUGAGCGUGCUCACCUGUAGUCUAGUGCGUUCACCCGUCCAGGGGUUACCCCUUUCGAUCUUCUCUCCCCCAUAUGUACCGCAGCCUCUACGACGAGUCCUCCUAGGUAAGGUAGACGACAGAGCGGCCCCUGGCGGCUCGCGUCGACAAGCCGUCGCCCCUCCCCUAGGUAACAGAGCAAAGAGGCCAGUCGGUAGGUAGUAAGACGUCGUUGCGUAUACUUGUUCGGCCACGCCCGAACGAGUUCGUUCUCAAGUGAGCAGAUAGCUGCCUCUGCUUAUGGUUCGACUCCUGUCAGCCAAACGUUCUUGGUGUUGGGUGUGCCGGUACACACUAUAACGUCGUUUUUAUAACCAAAAUACACCUCCACUAGUCACAUCGUGGCCCGCUGGGGCUGGUGGCCGUGGUGACGAAGGACUGGAGGGCGAACGGCGGGGCGGGCAGGGGAGUAUCCUGGAGUGGUGACAGCAGACAGAUGGAUGAAGGAGCGCGUCUCUUCAAUGGGACAACGCCCGACUGGACCUCCGAGGAAGAGGUGCAGCUGUGUUAACGUCCUGGUUGAACGAUGACUGGUGCGUUCGAAGGACUACCUCGAGCACAGGUUACUAUGACUUUCCUUUUUGACGAGAUCAAAACUUGAAUAAUAAGUCGGUACGAUAAUGACUCACUUUUUACUCACUUUCACAUAACGUUAACUAGAGAGAAUCUAGUACUGUUAGGAGAUAAAUAGGAAACAAACGAACAAAAAACCAGAUAUUAAGUUCUUGAAACUGGAAGCAUUAAGCCAAAAACCAAUUAAACAACAAUACGGGUCAUGUUUGGUAAUUUAGACUUCUCCGAAGAUUAUCACUCUUUUACACGUCAGCCACACCACAUAUACAGUAAGUACAUACUUUUACACGUCAGCCACACCACAUAUACAAUAAGUACAUGUACAUAAUAUAC
rnacentral:rRNA from 1 species